CCACCUAUCCACAGUGGAUAUACCGCACCAAGUUCAAGUGUUAAACGGGUUUUACGACAAAGACUCUACUUCUAACUUGGAUAACGAGGAAACAACACAAUAAUAGAUCAGUCCGUGGGAUGCGGCGUAGACUACCAACAUCUCCCUAAUAGACCUCGCUGUCGGACCCAGCAGCACCAUGUCGUCCGCGUAGCUGAAGUUUCAGCCGGCAUACCCCUAUCUCCCUC